rnacentral:rRNA from 1 species
UACGUAGGAGGCGAGCGUUGUCCGGAAUUACUGGGCGUAAAGAGCGCGUAGGCGGCACGAUACGACCUGUGUGAAAGCCCCCCGGCUCAACUGGGGAGGGUCACAGGUAACGGUCGGAGCUAUGAGUGCAGGAGAGGGAAGUGGAACUCCGGGAGUAGCGGUGAAAUGCGUAGAGACCCGGAGGAACACCAGUGGCGAAGGCGGCUUCCUGGUCUGCGACUGACGCUGUGGCGCGAAAGCUAGGGGAGCGAACGGG